ensembl:lncRNA
GAAACUCACAAACUGGCCCAGAAUCCAGCCCAAGGACUUUGAAGGACUCAGAAAUUUCUCAGAUUUCCUGACCACAUGUAAUGACGCUAUGCCUCAUGUGAAGGGACUGGAAAUACUGAAUGACUGUGAAGAGAAUAGGAAACUUGUGAGCAAACUUCCUGAUUGGGCGGCUGCCCGCUGGAACCGCCAAGCCACACAAACACUGAGUGAGACACAAGAUUUUCCAUCUUUCCAAGAUUUUGCACAUUUCAUGUCCAUUGAGGCUGAGGUGGCCUGCAACCCAGUCACUUCCUUUCAUGCCCUUCACGUUUCUGAAGCUAAUAAGGAGAAACAUAAUCUCAAGGUUAGUAAGAACAAGGCCAGUGUCUUCCAUACGAAGAUAGUCACACAGCAUGAGAAUCCAAGGCUCACUAGUAAAAUCACUAAACCAUGUCUGUUCUGUCAAGGUAGUGAACAUCAAAUUCAUGAUUGCUCUAAAUUCUCUGCAAGAUCUCUUGAAGAGCGAAGACAGUUCAUAAAGGACACGAAGCUGUGCUAUGGAUGUUUGAGACUUGGUCACAGUGCCAGAGACUGUCGCUCCAGACAUAGCUGUAACACCUGUAAGGGAAGACAUCCAACCUGCUUACACGAUGACGGCUUCAUUAGAAAGGUAAAGUCUUCCUCUGUUCAAGGCCCAGAGAAUGCACACGAAAAGGUCACAACGUCUUUAAGUGUAGAAUCUGGAUGCACAUCUGCUAACACCUCAAUGAUUGUGCCAGUGUGGUUGUCCUCACAAAACAACCCAGUCUCUGAGAAACUUGUCUACGCUCUGUUAGACACACAAAGUGACACUGUCUUCAUCGAAUAUGCUGUAAGUCAAAGUCUAAAGGUUGACUCAUGCCCAGUGACACUUAAGCUCACCACUAUGGUUGGGAAGGAUUCGUUGAUAUCAAGUGAAAGAGUUUCUGGUCUUAGAGUUAGAGGCUUUAAUUCCACAUUAGUACUAGACCUUCCCCCUGCAUAUACUAAAGAAUGUAUUCCUGUGGAUUGUGGCCACAUCCCUACCAGAGAGACAGCCAGGUGUUGGAAACAUCUUCCUCCUCUGGCAGAUGAAAUUCCCCCACUUCAAGACUGUG